ensembl:antisense Gm37974 predicted gene, 37974
AGCGAGGAUGGACCGCUCGGCCCUUGGCCCUUUACCCCUAUAAGGGGCACCACGAAUCUUCGAGGGUUUAUGUUUUUUACAAUUCGGAGCUGCAGAGGCUUUCUCUGGGACCCUCCCAAGCUGUCAGAGGAGGCAAGAGGACCAAAGGCUCAUCCCACUGCCCAUCAAGUCCUGAGGACUAUUCUGAGACAAUAAAUAAAGGCCACAUUUAGGUUUUCCA